rnacentral:rRNA from 1 species
UACGAAGGGGGCUAGCGUUGCUCGGAAUUACUGGGCGUAAAGGGCGCGUAGGCGGCACUGUUAGUCAGGCGUGAAAAGUCCUGGGCUCAACCUGGGAACUGCGCUUGAUACGGCAGAGCUAGAGGAUGGAAGAGGGUCGCGGAAUUCCCAGUGUAGAGGUGAAAUUCGUAGAUAUUGGGAAGAACACCGGUGGCGAAGGCGGCGACCUGGUCCAUUACUGACGCUGAGGCGCGACAGCGUGGGGAGCAAACAGG